rnacentral:rRNA from 1 species
AUUGAACGCUGGCGGCAGGCCUAACACAUGCAAGUCGAGCGGAGCGGGGGACGGGUGCGUGAUGCCUAGGAAUCUGCCUGUUAGGGGGGGAUAACGUCCGGAAACGGGAGCUAAUACCGCAUACUAUCAGAUGAGCCUCGGUCGGAUUCGCUAGGUGGGGGGGUAAAGGCCUACCAAGGCCACGAUCCGUAACGGGUCUGAGAGGAUGAUCAGUCACACUGGAACUGAUACACGGUCCAGACUCCUACGGGAGGCAGCAGUGGGGAAUAUUGGACAAUGGGGGAAACCCUGAUCCAGCCAUCCCGCGUGUGCGAAGAAGGCCUUCGGGUUGUAAAGCACUUUUGGCAGGAAAGCGGUACCUGCAGAAUAAGCACCGGCUAACUACGUGCCAGCAGCCGCGGUAAUUC